rnacentral:rRNA from 1 species
GACGAACGCUGGCGGCGUGCUUAACACAUGCAAGUCGAACGAAGUGGCGAACGGGUGAGUAAUACGUCGGUAACCUGCCCUCCUUUUUGGGAUAAGCCUUGGCAACGGGGUCUACUACCGAAUAAAGGGGGAUGGGCUCGCGGGCUAUCAGCUUGUUGGUGGGGUGAUGGCCUACCAAGGCGGUGACGGGUAGCCGGCCUGAGAGGCGGAACGGCAAAAUGGGGACUGGGAUAAGGACCAGAGUAAGAAGGGAGGAAGGAAUGGGCGAUAUGGAACAAGGGACGAAAGAAAGAAGCAGCGACGGCGAGUGGGGGAUGAAGGUUUUCGGGUUGUAAAGCUAUUGACGGAGUGGACGGGUAGGUGGGGAAGAAGAGACGGCUAACUACGUGCCAGAAGCCGCGGGAAUAA